rfam:Phormidesmis priestleyi Ana ITZX_scaf_87, whole genome shotgun sequence.
AAAAAUUGAAUAUUGCCGCCAGAGACAGUAGGUGUGGUUUAUCUGAUUUUUAUCAGCAACACUGCUUAAUUUCCUACCGAGGUUGCGUUACAAGGUUACUUUCCUCCGUUACUGGAAGUGUGAGUUCAUCUUUGAUACGUUUGCCCCGCUCUGGUUUGUAGGUCGGGGCUUUUUAGUAUCUAAA